AGUUCCAGAGAAAUCGUUAAUUAUAUUUACUAUAUACUUUCUUCGAAAAUCAAGAUUUAUAAAAAAAAAAUAUUGUUAGAUUUAUUAAAAAUUAAGAUUUAUAAAAAAAUAUCAAAAAAUUCUUACAAAUCAAGAUUUACAAAAAAUUUUAUAUUUCGUUCGUAGUUAAUUAUAAAUAAUUUAAAUUAUAUUAUGUUUCUUAUUUAUAUAUUUUCAUUUAAUUUAGAAAAAUAUUAUUGAAAAAAAUUUAAUAAGAAAAAUUUUAUAAAUAUAAAUUUAUUAAAUAUUUGCAAAAAAACUGUGAUAGUUAUGAAAUAUGAAUGAUAUUCAUGAAUUAUUGAACAAAGUACAAUGCGCGUCAAUGAGAAUGGAAAAGUGUUGCCGAUAAUACUAUCAAGUUAUUAUGCACUUAUGAUGCAGACGAAAUAUGAAAUUAAUUGUUUGCCAGACGCUCUAUAUUCUUAAAUAAGAUGAAUCAUGAUAAAAAAAGUAAUCGUGUGAUAUUCAUUCAAAAAAGUAAUUGAUAUUAGCAGUUAUAGUUGUGAAAUAACAAAUAAAAUUACAAUUACAGUUGUAAAAUUAUAUAAUUUUAUAUAAUUUUAUAUAUUUAUAUUUUAUAUAAUUGAAAAUUAUAUAAUUAUAUAAAUAUAGCUGUAUAAUUAUAUAAAUAUAGCUUAUUAAUAUUAGUAAAAUAUCGUGUUUAGAGCCAACUUAUAUGAUUCCUUAUAAGUUUAAUUAAAAAUCUUAAUCUUUUUCUAAUGUAGAAAUAUAUGUAUAUAUACGGUUUGAUUAAAAACUAUGAGUCGGUUUUAUCUUUUCCAUAUAUCGAUCAUAUGUAUAUGUAUAUGAGUAUCUGUUAACUUGUCUUAUUCAAACAAAUAUAAAUUUAUAAGAAGUUAGAAUAUUAAAUUCUAAUUGGGAAUAGAUAAGGAAAAAAAGGGAAGUAAAUGGGAUAGAAUUAAUAUGCAAUUAUUACGCCAUCUAUCGAAAUGCGUAUAUUAAAGUAUGUUUUUAUGCUCGAAAUAAUACAUAAUUAUGCUUACAAUUAAUUUUUAUCUUAUGAAAAUAUAUUAUGUUAUAAUUGAAUAUAUUAUAUUAUAAUUAUACUUAUAAUUAUACUAUUCAUAUUUAUAUGAAUAUGAAUGAUUAUGUAUUGCAUUAAAUAAUAAUGAUUUUCUAGGUCUCACUACUUGGAGAUUGCUGAGUUAAAGAUCUUAACCACGAGAUCCUAUUCAUUUUUUUUUUUGCGCGCGAAAAUUUAUUUGUUUUUAAAUAAAUUUUCCUUUUGGUAAAAUAUCUAAAUUUAUAAUCGCUGUUUAAUGUAAGUAAUAAAAAAAAGUUAUAAGGAAACCGAAACGGAAGAAUCUGAAAAUAAAACCUAAAUUAAAAGAUUUUUAAAAGAUUAUUAAUAGUUUGCAUUUUUAUCAUGAAAGUGAAAAAUAAUUGAUAGUUAAAAAUAUAAAAAGAAUUAAAAAAAAACAAGCGAAAUGAAUUUCCCACAAAGCACUAUUAUUAUUUUGCCUAUUAAUUAUUUAUUUAUUUACGAUAUAUUAUUUUAUUAAACUCUUUAAACUAUUUAAUUAAAUUCUUAUAAAUAUAUUUAAUUCUAAAAUAUUCUAUAUUUUAUUUAAUGAACAUUUUUUUAUAAAACAAUUUUCUUAUAAAACAUUUUGAAUCAAACUUAAAUACAGUAUUAAAAUAUUUUAAACAUUCUAUCUAUCUUAAAAACUCUUUUCAUGUUCUUUCAAACUUCUAAUUUAUCACAUACAUGUGUAAUUUUGAUAUAGUAAUGAUUAAAUAAACAUAUAUUAAUUAAAUAAGGAUUAAUCUAAUUAAGUUUAAGGGUUAAGAGUUAAUCUGAUUAGUUUUAAUAAUACGUUAAUAAAAAUGAUUAAUAAAAAUUCUAUAUAAUUAUAAAUAAAAUGAGCUAUCAUCAUAAUUUUCCAUUAUAAAUUGUGCAUUAUGAUGCACUAAUUUGUCUUUAAACUUUAACGAUUUUAUGAUUGACAGGAAUAG